GCAUCUUUCAAUGCCCCGACAGCACUGAUCAGGUAGUUAAUUAGAGAUUUACAAGUUACAAGGCAUUUGAGUAUUCUGCACAUUUUUUGUUUGUUAAGCAUGGUAGAUUACAAGCUAAGUGAAGCUAGAGUUAGUUAACAGUAGGUAUACUCAGCAGAUGGCAUUCAGAGAGAUAUUGCCACUGAGGUCUGACAGAUAAGCCUAAACUGAGUGUGAGAAAGAUAAAAUAAAAUAAAGAUAACACAUGAAAGUCCUAUUUAGCAUUGAUCUGAUAAGCAAAGUAUAGCGCUGCCGAAAAUCUGGACCUACACCGAAGAUAGACAGUGUUAUUUAUGAGAGGAGUGAUAGCAGGUCAUAGAAGCUAAAGGCAGGA